rnacentral:rRNA from 1 species
UACAGAGGUCCCGAGCGUGUUCGGAUUCACUGGGCGUAAAGGGUGCGUAGGUGGUGAGGUAAGUCGGAUGUGAAAUCUCCGGGCUCAACCCGGAAAUGGCAUUGGAAACUACCUUGCUAGAGGAUUUGAGGGGGGAUUGGAAUACUUGGUGUAGCAGUGAAAUGCGUAGAUAUCAAGUGGAACACCAGUGGCGAAGGCGAAUCCCUGGAAAAUACCUGACACUGAGGCACGAAAGCUAGGGGAGCAAACAGG